rnacentral:rRNA from 1 species
UACGUAGGGGGCGAGCGUUGUCCGGAUUUAUUGGGCGUAAAGAGCUCGUAGGCGGUUCGAUAAGUCGGACGUGAAAUCUCCACGCUCAACGUGGAGGGGCCGUUCGAUACUGUCGUGACUCGAGUCCGGUAGGGGAGUGUGGAAUUCCCGGUGUAGCGGUGAAAUGCGCAGAUAUCAGGAGGAACACCGGUGGCGAAGGCGGGUCUCUGGGCCGAUACUGACGCUGAGGAGCGAAAGCGUGGGGAGCGAACAGG